CCCAACAUUUUCUUUUCAAGUUAAUACUUCUUAAAGUAUACUAAAAUCUUUGAAGGAACAGGCUUGUUCCAAUGGUAAGAUAUGAAUGUUACUACUUGGUAUUAGUGGUCAAAACCGCCAGUAAGGCAUAUCACCGGCUACGUCCCCACCCUCCCUUCUCUUCGUUCGCAGUUCAAACCCUGCCUGAUAUCAAUGGUUCAAACACUACGGUACCAUUAGCUCUCAGCAAGUCUUCUCUACCCUCAAUUAAUGGAAAAGCCUCAACUCCGCCCUCCGCCCUCCGCCCUCCGCCCUCCGCCUCAUUACGCUCAAAGCUCCACUACCAUCGAUGACAAGGUUUCUGCAUCGGCUUUGUGGUCCACGGUGUUAUUCGCGCUAUCUGUUCGAUCAAAUGCCAAUGAGAUUGACGCGGUCCUUGGGUUGGGUGAGAAAGGUAAGGCUUUGACGCUCGAAGAUACAUUUUAUUUCAAAGAAGCUCUGGUGUCGCUUCGACUUGCCAAGGAGGUCAUUUAAAUUCAUCAGAGCUGGAGAGCAAAUGUAGUGGCCCAGUCUCUGCGCCGCUUCUGAGGUUGAUUAUUUCCAAGUAAAUUAAUAUCGGUUUCUUCUUCAUCUGUUGUCUGUAUGCAACUCUGCCACUGUUGAGAUUAGCAUAAUUUGGAAAUUAAUGGUGCUACACUGGUUUGCAAUUUUUGAAAGAUAGGAUACCCCUGAAUACAAAAGCUACUCAAACUGGCAUCCUAAAUCACACAGCUUCUGUACUUAUAAGCAUCAACAUCAGAGAAAAUAAACGAGGAACAGAAACAACAAACAAUGAGAGUUUAAUCCUGGUUGGCGCUUCUAAUGCUCAUUUAAAUUAAAUUAUACUGACUAUACUUCUCUUCUCUUGCACAUGAUACUGGUGUUUAUAAUGCUCAUUUGACUGAUAGAAAUGCACACUUACCAUAUUGGGCAGCCGAAGAUGGUCAUAAACAAUAUUGAUGUACUCCGGAAUGCAUUCUUAACUGAUGAUUCAAUAGUGUCUGCAUCAAUGUAUCAUGACAGGCUUCUUUGGAGAUUAAUAGCAUUGGGUGUGAAUGAAAGGCGCUUGCCAGUCAUAAUUUUAAUAUCGGAUAGUUGUUGUAAUGGCAUUUGGACCUAGUUUCUGAACUUUCUAUGUCAUUUACAUUAUCAGACAAGCAGCAUUGGUUGAAUCUGCAGAAAGUAUUCUUAAAUGAUUCUGUUUAUAUCUGGGGUUCUGCAAAUGGAUAUCGUUUGUAUGCAAAGUAAUGAAGAUGGAUUUUGAUGUGUUUGGAUCGAAAUGGGUUCUCCUUUGGAAUUCUCAAUCCUUCUUUCCUCUAAUGAGAAACUGAUUCCAAUAUCGCUCUCUUGCAAACUGUUUGCACACUACUUUUGGGAAGUAGAUAUUGUGAAACUUCUAGCUAUUGGUUUCUGGUGUUUAAUAGUGGUUUUUGAAGGUGCUUUACAAUUGAAAGACAAUGUCUAUGAGGGUCUCAACAUUUGAAGAUAUAAAUCUAAGUACGAUUUGGAAAUCAUUUUUAAGAAAACAAUGUGAAAUUUAUGAAGAGU